CCAAAAACAAAGCCAUUGGUGUAUAUACAGGAUUUCCGAAAAGUCUUUCCCUGAUUACACAAAUUUAUAACUUCGGCUAGACGUACGAUAAAAAUAUGAAAGUGGUGUCAAAAUGUUAGGUCAUAACUCAAGUUUUUUUUUUUUUGUUAUAGGUUCGCAGUAUGUGUGCAGUGUCUGAGGAGUAGUGGCCAGGAAGCCGGACAUGAUUACCAAUCAGGAGAAAGCGCAGUGUGUCCUGUGGUACCACGAGACACGAUCGCCAAUAACAGUGUAUAAAAACUUCCAGACCACAUAUGGAAACAUUCCCCCUGAUGUCAAGAGCAUUAAGACUUGGUAUGAGAAGUUCAAGACCACAGGGUCGGUUGCUGACCUUCCGAAGUCUGGUCGCCCAUCAAUCUCAGCUGAAAGGUUGCAAGCUGUGAGACAGUCAUUUCUGCGAAGUCCGAAUCAAUCUGUGCGAAGGGCCUCCCGUGAAUUACAGAUGCCAAAAAGCUCUCUCCACGAUAUCUUAUACAAAUUUUUAAUGUUUCGUGCACACAAAGUACAUAUUGUUCAGGCUCUGUUGCUCAAUGACAGUACACAUCGAUAUGAAUUUGCGGUCGAAAUUUUAUCACGUAUGGAGGACGAUAAUGGCUAUUUCCAACGAAUUGCCUUUUCUGACGAGGCAACCAUUUUUGUCAGUGGAGUAGUGAAUCGCCAUAACGUGCGCAUUUGGUUCACUGCCCCCUGGCGAGGUGAUGGAGUGUACCAGAGGAAGUCCAAAAGUGAAUGUUUGGUGCGCGCUUUUGCAUGACAGAAUUAUCGGGUCAUUCUUCUUCGCUGAGACAACCAUCACAUUUCCAGUUUAUUUGGACAUGUUACAAAUUUAUGCUGUUCCUCAGCUGCUUGAGUAUCACCCCGCUGUCAUGUUUCAACAAGACGGUGCACCACCUCAUUGGGGUUUGGAGGUCCGUGCCUAUUUUUAUAUGACCUUUCCUGAACGAUGGAUCGGUCGUGAUGGUCCAACGGUUUGGCCUCCACGCUCUCCUGACAUAACCCCAUUAGACAUAUUUUUAUGGGGUUGUCAAGGACGAGGUCUACCGAACACAUGUACCAGAUAUCGUAACCCUUCGACAAUUGAUAACCAUAGUCAUUGCAUCGAUCCCUCCAAUGAUGUUGGCUAAUGUGUGGACUGAAAUUGAAUAUCGACUAGAUGUGCUACGCUCUGCUAAAGGUGCUCAUGUGGAAGAGUAUUGAUGUUUGAAAAAUUCUUGGAUAGAUUCUCAACAGUUUGUCACCAGUUUAAUAUUUUUGUCUUACUUCUAUCCGAUGUUAUUAAUUUUUGUAAUCAGGAAAAGACUUUUUGGACAUCCUGUAUAUUUUAUUUACAACAGUUCAUCUCAACACCGUCCAAAUACAGAGAAAAUUUAUAAGAAAAAAUUAAAUAUCACUGAUCACAAGAUUAUGUGUCUAGGCUAACAGAGGCUAUCGUACAGAAGGUCGAUUUUCAUACUUUUAAGACGUCGGUACUUCGUGCUGUGUGUCCGCCGCGCAUCAUGGACGCGUGUAAGCGCGAUUUGAUUUUCAGGUUUCAGCGUCCUAAUGAGUCAGUGAAUCAUUACAUUGAUGAGGUUGUUUCCUAUGCCGAUGUUUUGGAAAUUGACAUCGCUGAGCCUGAGUUAGUACAGCUUAUUUUAGGUAACUUUGCGCCCCAUGUGCUCACCCACUGUGGCAUUGUUAGCUUCGCCUACCUCCUUCGAUGCUUUGCGUGCCUGGGGUAGUGAGGUAGAGGCGCGUUUAUUAGCGGUGUCUAAAUAUAAGGCUGAGUUCUCGCCUCCCGCUAGGUCUACGUCCGUGUCACGUGUUCGUGACAGGGGAUUUCACAGCCUACAGGUUACGUCAGAUUUUCGUGGCAGUGACGCACACGAUGCUGACACUCGUGUUUUAUGCACGCAUGAAAGUAAUAGUCAUCAACGUUCCUCCUUUGUGCCUCGCCUUCAUGACAGUUCACGUGCGUGGCGUUCGCCUUCACAUAGGUUUGACAGCGGGUCGGAUGCUCGCUUCCCCGCCGGCGCGUUUGACUGGCGGUGGGGUUGUCACUUUUACGCAGCCGACACAGGUUGUUCCAACAUUCAGUCACGCUCGCUGUGCAAAUUGUUGCGUGUUUGGACACGUAACUCAGGACUGUGAUCAGGCACGCGUUGAUGUUAACGCACGUAAAUGUUUUUCCUGUAGGGGAUUGGGUCAUUACCCGAGUAAUUGUCCGGGAAACGGUCAUUGACAGGACGGAAGAGAGGUCGUUUCUGUCGCCUCUAUAGGAAAGCCUCUAGCUCUGUUUCUCUGAAUUUCUUGCCCGUGUGUAUUCACGAGCGUUUCUUUUCGGCUCUCGUUGAUACCGGUGCUACAUGCUCGGCUAUUAGUGAGACGUUUCUCCAAACAUUUCCUAAAUUUUCUUUUCGUGUAUUUUCUGAAAACCAGAUUAAUAUUUGCGUGGCGAAUGGCGAGUGCCUUCGCGCAAAUACGUUCGUGGUAUUCACUUUAAAAUUAAACAUUUUUCCUGGAAUUGUAAGUAUCUUGUACCUGGUCUUUCACCUAAUUUUAUUUUGGGCUUAGAUUUUUUGAGCAAGACUCGCAGUGUUCUGGAUGUGGGCCAGCGUAAGUUCCGUUAUGAUUUCGCCCCUUCAGUGAAAGUUCCCUUACGUUCGCAGCCUAGUAAGUCUGUUAUCUUUGAGUGCCGCGAUGCUGAUAGCAUUGCGCAAGGGCAGGCUAUUGCUGACCUAGUUCACGCCUUUUCCGAUGUUAUCACCUCUAAAUUAGGACUUUGUGACAUUUUUCCCUAUAAAUUCUAUUUAAAGGAUGAAGUACAUGUUCAUGCUAAAUAUCUUAAUGUUUCUCCCCCUAAACUUCAAGCCAUGCGCGACAUCGUGGAUAAGCUCUUGGCCGCUGGUGUAAUGUAAUUUCACCUUCUACUUCUGAUUUUUGCACUCCUACUUUUUUAGUGCGUAAAAAAGACGGCACGAGCUGGCGCAUGGUGCACAAUUACAUUCCUCUGAACCAUAAAAUUGCUAACGACGAUGUUUAUCCACUUCCUACUGUUGAGUCUGCCCUUCAGCAUUUAGGUAAAGCUAGAUAUUUUUCGGUUAUUGAUUUGAAUCAAAGUUUUCACCAGUGCCUGCUAGAUCCUAGUUGCCGCAAGUAUACAGCAUUUUCAACUCCUUUUGGCCAUUUUGAAUUUAAUCGUGUGCCUAUGGGUGUUAGUUUUGGCAGUCAGGCUAUGAGCUGGAUCCUUGAUCAUGUUCUAUUUGAUCUUAAGUAUGAUUAUGUGUUUUAUUAUGUCGAUGACAUCAUUGUUUACAGUAACACCUUUGAGGAUCACAUUACUCGCCUGACUGAAGUCCUUUCUCGUUUACGAGAGGCCAAUCUCACUGUUAACCCGAAGAAGGUUACAUUAGGAAAAACAUCUGUUAAAUUUUUAGGUUAUGUUAUUUCACAAGGUACCCUCCUGAUGGAUCCUGACAAGAUCGCCCCUAUCGUCCAGUUUCCUAGGCCUGUCAAUUUAAAGGGAGUUCAGCGUUUAUUAGGUAUGUUAGGUUAUUUUUCCAGAUUUAUUUAUAAUAUUGCUUCCUUAUCUGCUCCUUUAAAUAUUUUGCGUAAGAAGGAUCCUAUUUUGAGUGGGGCACUGGACAAGAGAAAUCUUUUCAGGCGCUGAAGUCUUGUAUGGCUUCACCCCCAGUGCUCAUUCUACCCGAUUUUAGUAAGCGGUUUGCCGUUCAGGUUUAUGCUUCGCACAAUGCACUUGGAGCCAUCCUAGGACACCUGGAGGAAGGCCAGAUUAGGCCUAUUGCCUAUGCUAGUCGCUCGCUAUCAGAGUCUGAGCAGCGAUUAGGUGUAUAUGAGAAGGAGGCCCUGGCUUGCCUGUUCGGCCUAGAAAAAUUUGAAAGUUAUCUGGAUGCUCGGGAGUUUGAUAUAUAUACCGACAACCGAGCCCUUAGUUGGCUGUUUAAUCAUCCUCAUCAGCUGGGUAAGCUGGGUCGCUGGAUUUUGAUGUUAUCACUGUUUCAGUUUGUCAUCCAUCACAUUCCAGGUAAAGGUAAUGUUAUAGCCGACUCUCUCUCUCGCAUGUUUUGCACCGAUGAAUUCGAGCCUUUGGAACCUCGCUCUUCUGACGUUACUAAAUUUAUUACUGCCUUUAAAUUUUUUCAUGAAUCCUAUUUUAAUAUUAAGGAAUGUUAGACUCAGGACCCCUCUGCCAGCAGGUACUUAGAGAUCUUCAUGAUAAGAAGGCUGUUCCCUAUGUUGAGGAGAGUGGCAUGUUGUAUUUUACAGGAAAUUCUGGCAGAGCCCGAAAGGCUGUUGUUCCAGCUGUCUUGAAACCUAUGGUGUUAACCUAUUUUCUUGCAUCUCUCUUAGGUGGUCAUCUAGGAAUUGAUAAAACUUUUCGCAGAAUUUCAGCGCACCUGUUUUGGCCCGAGCUUCAUGCUGCUGUUCGGAGCUUUGUUCGAUCCUGUCUCGACUGCCAGAUUUCUAAGCCGCCGCAUAAUUCCAAGUUUGGCGCGCCAUCCUUUUUCCCUGUUACCCUUGCUUGCUGUGCCCGACUUCCGCCAGCGAUCUUCAGCUUCACCUCACCGAGAGACGUCUCCGUGGGAUCUUCCGUUCGACACCUCCUCCCUACUGGUGUUACCUGCCUGUGAGAGCCGAUCGUGCUUCUGCCCAUCGUCCUACCAUGAACUUGUCUGGCGGCUUCCUCGUAGUGUGGAGGCUCGAUGCUGUCUCGCCGCUUCUGGGUCUUGGAGAGCGACCUUGUUGAUUCCAGCUGAGUGCUUCCCGCACCGCCGUGAGUCUAUGGCUGCCCCUGGCCCUUGCUGGACGGGCUCUGGACGUCGUUGCUGACCCCUUCGGCAGCCUGCUAAGGCACUGUGACCUGGUGUUGCCUGCUGGAGUCCCCUCCCACGCCUGGGUGGUUGCGACUCGCAGAACCGCCCUGCUCCGAGCCCUUGUUCUGGGCUGAACAUCAACUUCGUACCUGAACUUCUUACUCCGUACUCCGUAUCAGCUGCUGGCUGCUGUCUACCGCUGUUCCGAAGACCUGCGUAGCGUGUGCCUACGUCCGAAGCCAUCUCGUUGAUCGCCGCGGAAAUCCUUAAGUUUGCUGUUUAAUGCUGUCUCCAGUCUCCAGUCUCCAGUCUCCAGUCUCCGAUGUCAACGUCAUGAACUUUCUUCAUAGUGUGGAUCCACAUGCUCUCCAGGCAGAGACACUUUAGGGAGGGGGGUUGAAGCAGUGCGGGCACUGCUUGGCGUUCCUUCCUCUCCGUUCCCCUCCCCACUCCUCCUUUCCCCUUCCUCUCCAACUUCACCUUCCUACCCCCCUCUUCCUCCCUUCCCCGCCGCGCCACCAGCACACUCUGCCGUAUUUGUUCCCGGCUAUAUAACCUCGGCACUCGGGCUAAUUGCCGCAGUCUUCCGGUCGUUUGACACGAGGACUGUCACUUGGGGCUGGCGUCGCGUUGGUAUGUACUCGGCUGUGAAACUUAACAUCUGUAAUUGCCAGUACUUAGUAUGAUUUCUUGUUCUUGCUUGUACGUCGUGGCCGCACUUUCACUUAUUCAUUUUUGCCAUGUUUAGUAAUGUUUGUAAUUUCUCUUGGACCCUUCAGGUCAGUGCUUAACUGGAUUCUUUGCCUUAAUUUCUUUUGCUCAUGCCUAGUACUACCGGUAGCUUAUGUAACAGUGUUUUUCUGCGGUUGUAUAUGGGCAUGCCAUGAUGGCUUUGGACACUUCUUGUCAAGCCGUGUCGUAACGGUAAUCGUAACUUUAUGUAAUUGUAAAUGUAAACUCUUUAUUUCUUUCUUGUUGUUGCCUAGCGGCCCAUAUAAUUGUGCUACGUUAAACGCGUCGUCGGCUUGCCCCAUUUAUUGCACCAUUGUUUUAACUUGUUUUGUAUUUAUGAUUCCCGCGGGAUGUUUCGCUCAGAACCCAUAAAUGUUAUGUGCAUUGUAUGCUACAUUUGUUAAUAAAUUACACUGCUGGUUAA